rnacentral:rRNA from 1 species
AUACGGAGGGUGCAAGCGUUAUCCGGAUUUAUUGGGUUUAAAGGGUUCGUAGGCGGACAAGUCAGUCAGUGGUGAAAGCCUGUGGCUCAACCAUAGAACUGCCAUUGAUACUGCUUGUCUUGAGUACAGUUGAAGUGGGCGGAAUGAGUUAUGUAGCGGUGAAAUGCAUAGAUAUAACUUAGAACACCGAUUGCGAAGGCAGCUCACUAAAUUGUAACUGACGCUGAGGAACGAAAGCGUGGGGAGCGAACAGAAUUAGAAACCCCAGUAGUCC